ACGAUUCAAAUUGCAGGCAGAGAAGGCUUUUCUGAUUACUGCUUUAAACCUCAUAUGCACUAUGCCCACCAAUAUAAAAAAUGUCCUCCGCUCAAUUUUUGUCUUUGUAGGGGGCAUGGAGUGGGUCCUGUGAGAUGUUUGUGUUUGUGACCACCAGGUGGCAGUGGUUCCAUUCCUCUCAUUCCUCCAGUGCCUUAACCGUCAAAAGCAUGACAGCUACUAGAGGAUUUGCUCUUGAUUGGCUGAGCCACCAACAGAAAGGCUAUCUCGUGCAUUAGAGAAGGAGAACUAAGACACAGGAGCAGCUCCUCAGGGGAGAAGAUUUGGAAUCAUUAAAAUUGUAUCAAGAGUGUGAUAUCAGGAUGGAGAACAUGCUGGAAUGUGCAUUCAUAGUCUUGUGGCUUCAGCUUGGCUGGUUGAGGGGAGAAGACAAGGUGGAGCAGAGUCCUCAGACCCUGAAAAUCCAGGAGGGAGACAGUCUCAUCCUCAACUGCAGCUACACGGUCAGCAAUUUUAAAGGGCUACUGUGGUAUAGACAGGAUCCUGGGAAGGGACCCGAACUUCUCUUCCUUCUUUACUCAGUUGGGGACGAAAAGCAGAACGAAAGACUAAAAGUCACCUUGUUAAAGAAGGGAAGCUCUCUGCACAUCGCAGCCCCUAAACCUGAAGACUCAGCCACUUACCUCUGUGCUGUGGAGACACAGUGCUCCCCAGGCACCUGCAGCCUGUACACAAACCCUGCAGCUGGGGCUCUGGAAUCAGGGCAUCUUUGGUGUUUUCCUUCCUCGAUGAAGUAGUUGCUUAGCACCCAGAACCUCUUUUCAAGUAGUCCUAUGGAGAAUGAAAUCU